CCAAGUUCUCUGAAAAGGGAACUCAAAUUACUUAAGUUACACCUCAGUAACUAAGAUAUAUCUGACUACUUCAUUACUCAAGCUUCAACCCUAUUUUCAAAUAUGCUCGUGCAUAGGGGCCAGCAUUGUUUGCAUCACCCUGCAUCUUGUUAGAAGUGCAGACUCACAGGUCCCACACUAGUCUAUAUAUGCAAAAUACAAGAUGCUCAGAUGAGUCCUACAUCGAGGUUUGAGAAGCAUGAGAUAGUGCAGCUUCACUUCAACCUUUUGUGGGAAGAAGGCAGGAGGACCAAGAAAACCAACCUGAUGUCCACUCCCAGCCUUACCUGCAGGCUGAACACAAGAACCCAAAAGUUUCAUGGAAAUAAAGGGUAAACAGAAA